rnacentral:rRNA from 1 species
AUGGAUGCCUUGGGACACUUAUCCGCAUCACUGGAACCCCCAGAAAAGUGUUGCUUUAGCCUUCUCACUCCACCAUGGACUAUCUUGCCACACAAUGUACACUGGAGUAAAUCUUUCCUCUCUAAAUCUGGCCAGAACCCAUACUUCCAGGCUGGAUCAUCUGAUGUAGCUCUUCUCCUAGGAUCAUUGGCUAGAUCCAUCAGAGCAGGUACACCUGGCUACUGUCAAAGAAAAAGAGAGAAGAGCCAAAUCACUAGAGCAGCCAGAUCAAGCAUGGGGAAGGAGAGAAGCAGUGGUGGGGCUGCUGCCUUGUGGGUGGAGAAGCAGAUCUGGGAAGAAACAGAUGCAGAUGAGAAGGAGCAGGCAAGCACAUCUAGCUACACUGCUGUGCAUAAGAGAGGCAGCACCUAA